AUUAAAAUUUUUUAAAGUACAUUGUCAAGGAAAGAUUGCGAUUGACUUUCAUCAAUUUUGAUCUCCUUUCUUGUGGUGAAUCUGUAUUAAAAUUAAGUUGAUUUGUAUUCGAGCUUUUCGUCCAAUACGCCUUGUAAUAUUUUUUUAUACUUGAAAUUUUCAUGUUUGUUAUAAGCCCUAAAUAAAGACACAUGUUUAAUCAGUGCCGCUAGCGCAACAGAAAAGUUUUAUCUUGAGAACGGAGUUAGAAGUUACUGCAUUGGCCAUUACUACGGUAUGGCGCUGAAAUCAGUAAGAAAGUGCCGGUCUAGUCUUUACCCGGGUCAUUGGCUAUCUGUCUAUUAAUCUGUGGUCCUAUGUUAAGUCAAUUACUCGAAUAUAUCGAGGCGUUGAAGCCUCCUUUUCUGCGAUGCUGGUGCGUUGCGAUAUACUCGUGUGUUAAGAAAGAAGUAAAAAGAAUCGGGUGGCACCCGAUUGACCACGUCGUCAAUUGGCCAAUUCAAAAUAGGACUCUCUGAUUGGUUAAUCAUUGCUGGUUACCCUAGGCACAGGUCGAUAUAAUUGGCUGUGGUCAAUCGCAACGUGGUCAAACGGGACGCUCCCAAAGAAUCUCGUGAAGAGGAUAGAAAAAGGAGAAAGAGAAAAAGAAGAAAAGUCGAAUAGAGAAAGAACGGCGAAAAAGCUAUAAAAAGUGACAAAAUAAAUAGUAGAAAAAGAGGAAAAGAAGAAG